CCUAAGCCAUUGUUCCUAUUUUACUCCUUGACUGGCAGGCGCCCUUCAAGAAAUUCAGUAUAAUAAUAUGGUUAUCAAAUAACUCCACUAAAUAAAAUGUAAAGUUCUAAACUAAGUUUCAUCUUUUACUAUUAGAAACAUCAAAUCAUAGCUGAACAAUUGGUCAACAUGUCAGAAAAAAAGGCUUUCUCCUGCACACCCACUGUACAAUUCUUCUUGACUUCUGUUUUAAAUUUUGAAGAAUUCUAGUUUUUGCUACAUAAUUCAUCCACUACUAAACUACUAAAUGGCUACUCAGUUACAGAGCAGUGAAGGGAAUUUCUGUUCAUGCAGAUGAUCCAUUUUAGAUCCCAGUUCAUAUUAGUUCAUUUUCGAACUUGAGCACUGUUUGAACAGUUGCUGAGCACAGAGCUAGGGAACACCAAUGGCUAUUAACAUACACAAACACAUAUACAUGAAUAUUGAUAACACGUAUAAUACUUUCCCAUUCACCAAUUCCUGAGCCUCAUUCUGCAACACCCACAAAAUUAGCUUCACUAAUUCUGGGCAUGUGAUUCACUUAGUUUCUAGCUCACUCCUGUAACAUGAACAGGUGGAGCUACUCCAGCAAUUGGAAUUUCAGUGAAUUGAAAUCAAAAAUCAGGGUUAGGACAGUCCAGCUGGGAAGUAGCUACCGCAGGUUCUAGGGUUAGGACAACAGAGGGUUCCCCCAGCCCAGUGUGGAGUGGCCCUGAGCAGUCAGGUGUAAGUCCUCAGCACUACAGAAUGUGCCCCACCAAAUUAGUUAACACAAAACAUACUCCUGGAUAAAUUAACACAAAACAUAAUAUAUGGAUAUUAACGCCCAGUGAUUUCUGAGCAUUAUUUUUUGGUGCUUUUGUUUGUGGGUCAGGGUUGGGGCACUAUUCUGGUGGGUAUUUGUGAGGAAAUCUUUGUGAAUUUUAUUCCCUUCGUGAAAACAUAAAAUCUUUGGCGCCAUAGGCCAUGUGUUCACUCCAUCUAUCCGGUGCCUGGCAACCCCCCAGAUACCCUGCUGACCUGAUACAAGACUAGAAACGGGAAGAAAAAUUAUCUUUCCUAACCUGAAAGUACCCGGUCAGGAAUAGUUGGUGUCUGGCCCUUUAAGACUGAGUGGCUAGAAGUGUGGGUGACGUCACAGAGCCCUGUCUGAGGUUCCAGUCGGGCACCAUUGUCGCAGCUUGAAGAGUGGGGCUGGAGUGGACAGGGGGUCCCGGCGGGGUUGCUCAGUAGCCGGUGGAGGGGGACCACAACCGGGUGGCCGCAGCGUCCUCCAGAGCAGUGCCACUGGAUGCCGGUGAAGGUCCCCAAGCUUUAUGUGGCCAGCAUGUGCUCCAGCCUGGUGUGCUCUCUCCUGCCCCUCUGUUCAUACCUUCAUUGGAUGUUCUUAGUUGAACAUGCUGGAAAAGUUCCAACAAGAGGCUGUCAGAAGGAAACAAAGGGGUUGGAGUCUCUGGGCAAAAUUAUAGACUUUCAUCAUUUAGAUUUCUUUUGGGCCAAAUGUAUGUUCCACCUACUUUUCUUACACAGGAUCAAAUAACUGAAUGAAUAAAAUGACAUAAUCUGUGAAAACUUGACUUGUAAAUUCUGAGCAUCCCAGGGUGUGGCCCAAAAAUAAACAAACCAAAGUAUUGAGCCUUGAGAUUUAUUGCUGGAUUUCACACAUCACUGUUGGCAGAUGACUUUCUCUGUGACUUUAUUAGAGGGGUGGGGAGUGGCAAACUCAAAUCCAGCAGUAAUCACGGAUAACUCCUUAGGGAUUCAGGGUGUAAAGUUCAGUCGGACGCAUGCAUGGGAAGUUCUCACUUACUGUCCCCUGCAAACCUUUGAAAUCACAGCUUGUUUUUGGCUCAGGGUCACACCAGGAGCUGCCAGGUGUCUACAGCCCUACCAUGACCACUACCAGUUGGGCCUUGUCCUAGCCUCCACCUGCAUGUCAGUCUGUUCUUAUCAGAGGUUUCACAGGAUUUAUAUAGAAUUUGAAUUUUGGGGUAAGAGAUAGGUCAGGAGUGCAGGCCCUGGCUUUGGAAGCACCCUGCGAUGGUAUAAUGGGUUCAUUUUCAGUUGGCCAUGCCCGAGAUGCUAAUGGGUUACUUCUGGCUCUUCUCAUUGAUCACCCACUGCAAGACGUGGGGACACUUUCUGUCUGAUGGAGAUUGAAACUUGAUUGAAGUGCAUGCCAGGCAAGCACCCUAUGCUCUGUGCUAUCUCUGAGGCCAUCAAAAAAAGUUUUUUCUCUGGUUAAAUUCCAGAAAGUUGUGAUAGUAGAUGUUCUUUUUCCUACAGUAUACAACUCAUAUUUCUUGAGUGUGUGUUUUUGCUUUGGUUUCACAUUCACCGGUAGUCUGGGCUUCCUUCUGACUCUUCACUCAGGAAUCACUCCUGGUGGGCUUUGUGGACUGUAGGGAUGAGGGAUGUCAAACCCGGGUAACUGUGUGCAAUGCCAGUGCCCUCCCUUCUCUGUGUUUUAUUGAUCUUUCUCCAGGACCUGAUUUUUACCUAUUGAGCUAGAUAUGUUUGUUAAAAUGUUAUAGAAUAUUCAGUUAGUGUGGAUCCAGGAGCCCUAACAACAGGACAGCAGGUCAGUUGCUUGCUUUACCUUCCCUGAGAGUGGAGGGCAUCGUGGAUUACAACGCACUUUUGUGUCCCCUGGAGAGGAAGGAACAUCUAGCAAAGUCUUUCAGGGUGGGUCUUGAGCUGUGCCUUAGGGUGACGCCGGUCAGGUCCAUGAGUUGUGCUCCGUUCUGGUUCUCAUGUGUCUGACUUCUCUUUCAGAUGAUUCCAUGGAGCCACAUGUCGGUCCUUGGGAAUUACAGAAGCUGCAGACAAUGGUGACACACCAUCUGACACACUGUCUCUAGGCCAGUAAUCUAGGAGCUAGGCCCCCCGGAAAGAAGAUACAAAACCAAAACUGAAGCCUUCCUUGGGCUGAAAGCACUCGGAUUUACAUCCCAAAGACCGGGGCUGGGCUGCCACAAGAAAUCUACAUGUCAAUUACAAACUAGACAGCACCUGAAAUUUACAUCCCAAAGACUAGUCUGGGCCAGAGCCUGGAAUCUACAAUGUCAAGUCAGGCCUGGCUAGCACCUAAGAUCUGCGUGUCAAAGACCAGCUAGGCUUCUUGUGAAAAAAGGGAAAACUGCCUCUGAAAUUAUCUCCAGAAGGCAGCUGAAAAAGGGAAAAUAUUCCAACAAAUGAGUUUCUCCAGAAGUGAUCCAUCAAGAUGAGGUAAAAGCAGUGAUUCUGAAGCCAGCCCUGAAAAUGCAGAGGAACUGGCCUAGCAGCAACCCUGAGAGCUGGAGAGACAACAGACAGGACCGAAGUCUGGCAAAAACAUCAGAGAGCACUGUACAGUGAGCAAUCUACCCCUUGAAAACAUGCGAGCAGUGAACUCUCACCUACAAGGAAACCCCAGGAUACAGCUUUAGAGACAUGUUUUCAACCAAGAGUCUGGGGCUGGAGAAUAGUACUUUGGCUUAAUGCUUGUGUUGAACAUGGUUUAUCUGAGUUCCAUUCUGGCAUCCAGAACAAAACCAGGACAAACCCCUAAGAACUGCCAAGUAUGGCAUAAAUUAAUUAAAACGUACUUCAAUAAAUAAAUCCCACGUGUGGACCAAUACUAAGAACAGAGGUGCAUAGGAGCUAAUGAGCACCAAACCUUGCAGGAUCAUUUUGUAGACUUGGUCUUUUGGACAGACCAAAAAUGGUUUUAAUCAUUCUGGAGGCUAGUAGGGUUGAGAUUAUACCACUUCCAAAAGCAAACACGCUCAGGGCACAAGCCAGGGAGGGUCCUCAGACACUCACUCCCACACAGGCCUCUUCUUCCUGUGCUUAUGGGUCCUCAUUACAGACAGGACAUCAGCGCAGGCUUCACCCUAAAAAGCCCUGUCACCAUAGAAACAGGGUAUUAAUUAGUGACAAGGAAAACAUGACAAGCCAUCCCCGUGUGUCCCUAAAAAAAUCGGGCACAUUCCUCAAAAGGCUUGAAUAGAAUCCCACAUCUGAUAUGCACUAAGUGGGCAAUUAACAGUUACAUAAGUCCUAGGUUUUAAUUCCAGUCUGAAAUUGAGUCAUACUGUAGCCCUCCCAAAAAGCCCUGGAAGUGACUCUAAGCUCUAAAUAGCAUGUGAUGGGGUGAGGCCCUAAAAAAAAUGAAUUCAUGUUCAGAGUGAUACUCCAGCAGGGUGGGCGCUUGGUGACAGACACAUCUGGGUUUGAUCCCUGGCAAUCAUAUAGCACUGUCAAGAGAAAUUCCCGAGCUUUACUCCCUUUAUCAAAUCAAAUUAAUUAAAUUUAAAUUAAUUAAAUUUUCAGUUAAUCAAAUCAACUGAAAAAAAAACAGUAAUAAAUGAAGUUGCAGGCCUAGUAAAGGAGUAUAGCGUGUAAGGCAACUGAACUAUAGAUGCUGACUUGGUGUAGUACAAAGCACCCCCAUGGGCUCCUGAGCACUGCAGGAGUGAUCAGUCAGCACAGAGCCAAGAGGAAUGUGGACUAUGGCCCCAAAUCAAAUCCAAAAGGGUCGGAGUGAUAGUCAGCUGGUAGGGAAUGUUCUUUGCACACAGCCAAACCGGGUUCAAUCCCCAGCAUCCUAUAUUUUUCCCUAGGCACUGCCAGGAGUAAUUCCUGAGUGCUGAGCCAGAAGCAACCCCUGAACAAUUGCUGAGUGUGACCCCAAAAGCUAAAUAAAUAAGAUGUUAAAAACAAAUAAGGAAAACCAAAACAAACAAACUGAAGUGACGGGUAGUACAAGAAGUAAACUGAUUUAACAAUGGAAGGAAUUUUUUUGAGGAACCUGAAACCAGUACAGUAUGUGGGCACUUUACCAUGCUCAGGCUGCCUGAAGAUCCCCUGCAUCUCAGCAGUAAAGCCUGACAAUUGCCAAGUGUAGCCAAUAAACAAAAACAGAAAAAAGAAAAAAACCUGAUAAACUGUGAUUCGCAUCGCUGUCAAUGAUCCUGGCCUGUCAGAAUCACGAAUUCUGUAGAAGACACAGCCCAGCAUGGUCGCUGCUUGCCCUUGCGGGUCUGGCCAGGCACAGUCAGCCCCACACUGCUCUCAGCACAGCCUGCAGGUGCUGGUAGGUCUCCAGCAUCACGUCCCUGUAGAGCUUUCUCUGAUCAGCGUCCAGGCAUGUCCACUCCUCCGGGGAGAAUCUCACGGCCAUUUCGGGGUAGGAAACUGUGCCGUGAGCCAAAACACAGGGGAGUGGGAGUCAGGGCCCAUCUCCACCUCAUUCCCAGGCUGUGAGGAUGGGACCCCUCAGAGCGCUAACAGGGCUCAGGAACUUUCCCUAGGAAUGAACCAACCUCGAUUUCUCUCCAUUCACCCUCCUGGCUGACGAGGAGAAAUCACAAUAGACAUCAAUCCAAGGCACUUGGAUCUAAAAAAAUGUGAGGACGCUAUACUACAAGUUUUCUGGAGGUGCCAGUCUUGCACACAGCCACCCCAAGGUCAACUCCACACCACUGAUCCAGUGAAAACUGCAGAGAGCAACAACUGAGCACUGAACCAGCAGGGUCAAAAUGUAAAACUGGGUUUGGCUGAAAACGUUAAAGACACACACACAAUGCAAAAUGUGGAUGACUGGAAACUUCGACCUUUACUUGAUUCCAUGAGGUCACCUACAUUUCCGUCAGAUUCUUAAAGGGCCAGGCUCCAAUGUUCCUGACCAGGUACUUUCUGAUCAGGAAAGUUAAUUUUUCCCCCAUCUCUGGUCUUGGAUCAGAUCACCAGGAACACUGGAGGG